rnacentral:misc_RNA from 1 species
UUUCCGUAGGUGAACCUGCGGAAGGAUCAUUACUGAGUGAGGGCCCCUCGGGGUCCAACCUCCCACCCGUGUUUAACGAACCUUGUUGCUUCGGCGGGCCCGCCUCACGGCCGCCGGGGGGCAUCUGCCCCCGGGCCCGCGCCCGCCGAAGCCACCUGUGAACGCUGUCUGAAGUAUGUAGUCUGAGACAAUUAUUAAAUUAAUUAAAACUUUCAACAACGGAUCUCUUGGUUCCG